CGGCAAUGGAGGAAACUCUGACCGAGCAACGCCGCGUGAACGAUGAAGUAUUUCGGUACGUAAAGUUCUUUUAUUAGGGAAGAAUAAAUGAUGGAAAAAUCAUUCUGACGGUACCUAAUGAAUAAGCCCCGGCUAACUAUGUGCCAGCAGCCGCGGUAAUACAUAGGGGGCAAGCGUUAUCCGGAAUUAUUGGGCGUAAAGGGUGCGUAGGCGGUUAAAUAAGUUUAUGGUCUAAGUGCAAUGCUCAACAUUGUGAUGCUAUAAAAACUGUUUAGCUAGAGUAAGAUAGAGGCAAGUGGAAUUCCAUGUGUAGUGGUAAAAUGCGUAAAUAUAUGGAGGAACAUUAGUAGCGAAGGCGGCUUGCUGGGUCUUUACUGACGCUGAGGCACGAAAGCGUGGGGAGCAAACAGGAUUAGAUACCCUGGUAGUCCACGCCGUAAACGAUGAGUACUAAACGUUGGGUAAAACCAGUGUUGAAGUUAACACAUUAAGUACUCCGCCUGAGUAGUACGUACGCAAGUAUGAAACUUAAAGGAAUUGACGGGACUCCGCACAAGCGGUGGAUCAUGUUGUUUAAUUCAAAGGUACCCGAAAAACCUCACCAGGUCUUGACAUGCUUCUGCAAAGCUGUAGAAACACAGUGGAGGUUAUCAGUUGCACAGGUGGUGCAUGGUUGUCGUCAGCUCGUGUCGUGAGAUGUUGGGUUAAGUCCCGCAACGAGCGCAACCCUUAUUGUUAGUUACCAGCACGUAAUGGUGGGGACUUUAGCAAGACUGCCAGUGAUAAAUUGGAGGAAGGUGGGGACGACGUCAAAUCAUCAUGCCCCUUAUGACCUGGGCUACAAACGUGAUACAAUGGCUGUUACAAAGAGUAGCUGAA
rnacentral:rRNA from 1 species